rnacentral:rRNA from 1 species
ACAUCGCCUCUUGAAUUUCAUAGGAGGUCCAGCCUGCCCAGUGACACAAUUAAACGGCCGCGGUACCCUGACCGUGCGAAGGUAGCAUAAUCACUUGUUCUCUAAAUAAGGACUUGUAUCAACGGCAUCACGAGGGUUAUACUGUCUCCUCUUUUUAAUCAGUGAAACUGACUUUCCCGUGAAGAGGCGGGAAUAGAGAUACAAGACGAGAAGACCCCAUGGAGCUUUAAACCCAAUAGUAACCUCUAUUUGCUACUACUACUUAAUCAAGAGGCCCUAUCUACUGGUUUUAGGUUGGGGUGACCCUGGAGUAAAACUUAACCUCCAUGAUGAAUAGAAUUUAUUCUAAUCCCAGAGCUACUGCUCUACGAAUCAAAAUUUUGACAUAAACUGAUCCGCCUAGCGAUCAACGAACCAAGUUACCCUGGGGAUAACAGCGCAAUCCAUUUCAAGAGCCCCUAUCGACAAAUGGGUUUACGACCUCGAUGUUGGAUCAGGGUAUCCCAGUGGUGCAGCCGCUACUAAAGGUUUGUUUGUUCAACAAUUAAAACCCU